CAGGGCACCCUUCUUCAGGGUGUUGGCUCCUAAAUACCGUCAGCUGCACUAAAUCCCUCCCAGCUGGCAGUGCCUCCCUGAGUUCCAGAUGAGAACCCUCCAAAACCCAGGCCACUGGCUGGCUUGGUGGAGCCACUUCCCAUGGACAGUGCUGGGGUGGGGUCCCUUCCACGGUGUGCCCAAACACCCCAUCUCGCUAGAACACUCCAUUACCUGGUUUCUUCCAUUGCCCAGGUGUUAUCAGACCGAUCCAGGUACUGACGGGGGAGCAUCGUGCCUCCUGCUGAAGGAAGGCCCAGGGCCAUGAAGGCUGCAAGAGUAAAACUUGCCAGACUGAGAACACAGCUCCAAGCAGCGUGUCUGCAAAUGAGGUGGGAAUGCGAGGCUGGUGUGAGGACAGCUGCUCACACCUUGGAGCUACGUACACUAUGUGUCAGUCACUAAGGAGAAAUUGCAUGCACAGCAACUCCAGAGCUGGCUGGCUUCACUGGAACCAGGAUCCAAUCUUCCCUGAAACGCCCCUCACAACACGAUCUCUCAGUUCCCCUGAGCAUCCUUGCAGCCCUUCUUUGGAGUCCUCUUUCUUGACCCCGGGUGCCCCGAACGGUGCGUGCCCCGAACGGCGCGUGCUGAUCCAGCUGAGCUGCCCCCACGGCCUGGUACCAUGGCAGCAGGCUCAAGAACGCUUCAGCUGCCAGCACCUGAAGGCUACUGACUAUUGACUCUGAUCCUACAAUAGGAUCUCACAGGGUGUUUGUGGCAGGACCAGGGCCUAGGCCAGCUAGGGGUGAGUGAAUUGUUCUUCUCCAGAGGGGGACAAGGAGAGGCUUGAACGUUUGGGCUGGGGAAAGGACAGGGGCAGCUGGUGUGGGUGAAAGAGAAGGGACAGUUGUGGCGGGGGGAGGGGAGUUAAUGUUUCACACCCAGCCCUCCCACUCCUGUAAGUCACAAAGUUCAGGCCUGCCAGGCCCAGCCCCUCAGCUCACCUGCUAUACCCCUCCCCUGUCUCUUGGGUUUGUAUUGUGUGGGGCAGGGUUUCCCGAGAAGGGCAGCUAUCAGCCAGGGAGCCAAGCCCCUGAGCUAGUGUGGCUGGGGGUGAGGGGUUACCUCCCAGCCAGCAUCCUGCAGCAGGUACAUUAUUAGGACCAGGUGUAUAACGUGGGGGUGCCAGCGGUGCUUCGGGCUGAGCAGGGAGGCAGUGUGCCAAGCCCUGCACCCACGCUGAGACCCCCCUGGCCCUGAAGAGCUCCCCCGCCCCCCAGGAAGGGGAGAGGGAAUGGAAAGUUGUUCUCUGCGUUUUGCAGCUGGGAACUGCUGGGGCUGCAGUGACUGGCCCAGGGUCCCACAGAGGACUAGAGCCCGGCUCGAUCGGAGUCCCAGCCCGGGGCCUCCUCUCAGCUUGUGUCCGAUGGCGGGGAGGGGGGCAAAGCCAGGAGACGAUCGAGCAGGCUCCGGCUGCCGGGCGCUGCUGGCUGGGCAGUGCCAGAGCGGGGACCCCCUCCCAUGGGCUCUCCCGGGACACAGGACCAGCCCCUCCCCCGCCUGGGGAGCCGC